rfam:Bacteroides fragilis NCTC 9343, complete genome
GUAAAGACAAAGGGGUGCCACCCGGUGGCUGAGAUUAUACCCUAAGAACCUGAUGCAGUUAGUACUGCCGAAGGGAUUGUGUAUUUCUUCCGU